AGAGUUUGAUUCUGGCUCAGGAUGAACGCUGGCGGCGUGCUUAACACAUGCAAGUCGAACGGAGUUUAGAUGAAACCUAGUGAUUCUAAACUUAGUGGCGGACGGGUGAGUAACGCGUGGGUAACCUGCCAUAUACAGGGGGAUAACACUUAGAAAUAGGUGCUAAUACCGCAUAAGCGCACAGGACCGCAUGGUCUGGUGUGAAAAAACUCCGGUGGUAUAUGAUGGACCCGCGUCUGAUUAGCUAGUUGGUGAGGUAACGGCCCACCAAGGCGACGAUCAGUAGCCGGCCUGAGAGGGUGAACGGCCACAUUGGGACUGAGACACGGCCCAAACUCCUACGGGAGGCAGCAGUGGGGAAUAUUGCACAAUGGGGGAAACCCUGAUGCCAGCGACGCCGCGUGAGUGAAGAAGUAUUUCGGUAUGUAAAGCUCUAUCAGCAGGAAAGAAAAUGACGGUACCUGACUAAGAAGCCCCGGCUAACUACGUGCCAGCCGCCGC
rnacentral:rRNA from 1 species